AAGGACCCCUUUGCAAAUAGGCUCUUCGGAUUUGUUAAAAUUGGGAUUAUAAUAAGUCAUUGGAGGUCUAAGUCCAGGGUCUGCAGGAAGAUUAGCCAAUAUUUCAUCCAACUCAGUGACCUCUGAUCGUUUUGGACUACCCGAAUUAUUCAAGGGAGGAUGUGAAGUAGGCGGAUUAUUUGAAGGUUGAUUUGAACUAGCCGGAUUAUUUGAAGAAGGGUUGGAACUACCCGGAUAUUUGAAGGAGGAUUUAAACUCUUUCUCUGAAAGUACCGUUUCAUAACUGUACAAUUAAAACAAAAUAAGGGUUUUAUAUCUAUUACUAUGACUAAUUGACUAUAAUUUAUCACUUAAAUAAAUAAAUCAAUAUCAAAUUAUCAAUUAAACAAACAAAUAAAAAUUAAUUAUAGCUCAAAUAACAUGUCAUGUAGCUUGGUAUUCACUCGAGUUUGCUACUGAUCUUACUAACACAGAGAGAGUUGAAUAACCAAAAAAAUACAAAACAAAAAAAACAAAAAAAAACAAAAAAAAAAACAAAAAUGGAGUUUGCUUAAGAAAAAAAAUGCAUUUGACUUACUUUGGUUUGACAUAGUCAAGAAGGAAAAAAAACACAGGAUUCUUGUGAUGCACACACACUUUGAUGAAAUUAGGUGUCUUUUAUAAAGAGAAUUCUCAAUCCUACUUAAUUAAGGAAUUUCGAAAACCCAAUUGAAUAAAGAGAACCCAAUUAAGUAA
rnacentral:lncRNA from 1 species